CAGUAGCCGCGGGAAUACGGAGGAUCCAAGCGUUAUCCGGAAUCAUUGGGUUUAAAGGGUCCGUAGGCGGUCUUGUAAGUCAGUGGUGAAAGCCCAUCGCUCAACGGUGGAACGGCCAUUGAUACUGCAGGACUUGAAUUAUUGGGAAGUAACUAGAAUAUGUAGUGUAGCGGUGAAAUGCUUAGAGAUUACAUGGAAUACCAAUUGCGAAGGCAGGUUACUACCAAUUGAUUGACGCUGAUGGACGAAAGCGUGGGUAGCGAACAGGAUUAGAUACCCGAGUAGUCCCUGUCUCUUAUAC
rnacentral:rRNA from 1 species